UACGUAGGGUGCAAGCGUUAAUCGGAAUUACUGGGCGUAAAGCGUGCGCAGGCGGUUCGCUAAGACAGAUGUGAAAUCCCCGGGCUCAACCUGGGAACUGCAUUUGUGACUGCACGGCUGGAGUGCGGCAGAGGGGGAUGGAAUUCCGCGUGUAGCAGUGAAAUGCGUAGAUAUGCGGAGGAACACCGAUGGCGAAGGCAAUCCCCUGGGCCUGCACUGACGCUCAUGCACGAAAGCGUGGGGAGCAAACAGG
rnacentral:rRNA from 1 species